UUGGAAACUUGUAUGAAUGGUUUAAUUAGCCAAAUUAGUUUGUUUUUUCAAUAAUAAAUUAAACAUGAAGUAAGAAUUCUUUAAUAAAUUAAGGGACGAUAAGACCCUAAAAGCUUUAUAAAUAGCAGAAAGUUAAUGUUAUUAGUAUUAUUAAUUCACUGGGGUAGUGGCUUUGCGUAUAUUUAAGUAGAAAAAAAAGAUCCUUUAAGUAAAGAUUUUAUGUGUGAGUUACUUUAGGGGUAACAGUGCAAUAUAUUUGGGGAGACCAGAUCUAUAAAUAUGUUUGCAACCUCGAUGUUGAAUUAGGAUAUCUAGACGAGCAGAAUAUGUACAAGAGAGUUUGUUCAACUUUUAAAUUUCUACAUGAUCUGAGUUCAAACCGG
rnacentral:rRNA from 1 species